UUUGUUCUUUCUAGCCUCUGCCGAUUUGCUCCCUCCGUUUCUUUUCUUUUAUUUUCUGCCCUCUGUUUAUUUUCUUUUCUUUUCUACCGAUUUGCUCCCUUUGUUUCUUCUCAUUUUCUUUUCUGCCGAUUUCCGAGUUAGUGCAACUGAAAGGUAGGUUUCUAACUCUCUGUCAACCUUGUUACUGUCUUUUGUUUUUUCUGCAUGUAAGCAGAUUCGAAACAUGUUAAAUCUACUGUCUAUAAACUUUAGCCUUUAUUCUUAACUACUUUGAGUGGAUUAAACAUGUUUUGUU
rnacentral:lncRNA from 1 species